GGAGGGAUGCCCGAGCGGCCGAAGGGGCACGCCUGGAAAGCGUGUAGGCGGGUUAACUGUCUCCGGGGUUCAAAUCCCCGUCCCUCCGCCA
rnacentral:tRNA from 1 species